GCGGACGUGGCGGAAUUGGUAGACGCGCACGUUUGAGGGGCGUGUGGGCUUCCCAUGAGGGUUCGAUUCCCUCCGUCCGCACCA
rnacentral:tRNA from 1 species